UCCGGCUCACGGACCAGCUAAACUUUACUUUCACUACUAAUGAUAAUUGAAAGAUGUUCUUUGACCAAAUCGGCAGGACUACUGUUUGUGGCAGCGAUGGACUCAGCAUAGUAGGACGCUCAUCCACGGUCCGACUAAACAUUCCUCCUACUUGUUGGUCAUGGCCACCUGUUCAAUAUAUGAAAAUUGUUAAUACUCAGAAUUUCAGGGUGACAUUUGCUCGGCAUUCUCCUCGUCGAGCUGGAAUAGGACGGCUCCAAUACCUAUAUGACUGGCAUCACACUGUAUAAAAAAUGGCUUCUUAAAGUCGGGAUGGAUCAAAAGUGGUGCACUGGCAAUCCGUAAGCGGUGCAGAUAAGGCUGAAAAAUUCCGGAUGAAGCGGCGAUACCAUCCAGCGGUACCUAAAUACCGACGUAGCUGACGUACACUUUUCGGAACGGGUAUCUCCGCACCAUCGCCAACCACACA
rnacentral:sRNA from 1 species